rnacentral:rRNA from 1 species
CCUACGGGUGGCAGCAGUGAGGAAUAUUGGUCAAUGGGCGCUAGCCUGAACCAGCCAAGCCGCGUGAAGGAUGACUGCCCUCUGGGUUGUAAACUUCUUUUAUCUGGGAAUAAAGUGCAGUAUGUAUACUGCUUUGCAUGUACCUUAUGAAUAAGGAUCGGCUAACUCCGUGCCAGCAGCCGCGGUAAUUCGGAGGAUUCGAGCGUUAUCCGGAUUUAUUGGGUUUAAAGGGAGCGUAGGCGGGUUGUUAAGUCAGUUGUGAAAGUGUAUGGCUCAACCGUAAAGUUGCAGUUGAUACUGGCGUCCUUGAGUGCAGUAGAGGCAGGCGGAAUUCGUGGUGUAGCGGUGAAAUGCUUAGAUAUCAGGAAGAACACCGGUUGCGAAGGCGGCCUGCUGGACUGUAACUGACGCUGAUGCUCGAAAGUGUGGGGAUCAAACAGGAUUAGAUACCCGGGUAGUC